rnacentral:rRNA from 1 species
AGAGUUUGAUCAUGGCUCAGGACUAACGCUGGCGGCGUGCCUAACACAUGCAAGUCGAACGAGGUAGCAAUACCUAGUGGCAGACGGGUGAGUAACACGUAGUCAACCUGCCUUUUAGUGGGGGAUAACUAGCCGAAAGGUUAGCUAAUACCGCAUACGAUCGUUGAGCGGCAUCGCAAAACGAUGAAAGGAGCAAUUCG